UACAGAGGUGGCAAGCGUUGUUCGGAUUUACUGGGCGUAAAGGGUGCGUAGGCGGUUUUGCGUGUCAGAUGUGAAAGUUCAUCGCUCAACGGUGAAAGGGCAUUUGAAACUGCAGGACUGGAGUAUGGAGGAGGAGAGUGGAAUUCUUGGUGUAGCGGUGAAAUGCGUAGAUAUCAAGAAGAACACCGGUGGCGAAGGCGACUCUCUAUUCCAAUACUGACGCUGAGGCACGAAAGCUGGGGGAGCAAACAGG
rnacentral:rRNA from 1 species